UUCAUAUCGGACACAGCUUAGUUUUAGGAAUCGCUGUCGAUUGCUCUUGCGCAUGCAGUGUUCCUUUUUUUUUUAGUUGCACACACGAUUGCAUCCGCGGAAUGUUACAGGUUUGUGCGGUGCAUUCAAUAAACUUCGCAACAUUCAGCAAAAACUUCCAUUACGCUCGGCACUUUAGCACUGCUGUUUUAAUAAACAGCUUAAAGCCGUCCCUUUCAGUGUAAUCGAAAGGAUAUUCAAACGGGAUUUUUAUUAAUAUGUAAAUAAUUUCGCAAGCAACAAGCAUGAAAUCGCGGAAUUAAUCCGGGGUGUGUGGAAUAUUCACGAGCGCAGCGAGAUGCGCAAACGAAACGAACUCUCUCGCUCAUGAUUGCUGCAAGCUCGUAAUUUUAUGUAAUGCAUCGCAGUAUACAUUUUUAAUCAACUCGGCGACUUGCGAUACUCGCCGUUAUCGCAUUCUCAGUUAGCGUUAUGUUCGCUGUGCUUUUAUCAGUUUAUAUAAUUUGACAUCCGUUUAUUUUCUGACCAGUUCGCGGAAAAUCGCGACGUUUAACAGUCGAUCGGUUAGUGCUCGAUUUAGCAGCUCGUAUCACAAUGAGAUUCAUGAACUGUUGGCUAUUGUUGGCAAUGAUUCUUUUGCUAAUGGGAUUUGCAAACGCACAAACUGAAACCGUCGUUAUUAAAGGGAAUACCUACAUAAUUACAUUUCCGCACAGAUGCGAAGAAGGAUUUAAAUAUAUAAAAGGCCACUGCAGACCUGUUUUGUGAAACCGUACUCAUAAUCCAUGAUAAUACGUAUGGAAAAUUAAAAAAUUAUUUUAUAUUAAUGCUAAAAAUAGAAAUAUAAUCGCGCGUUGUUUGUUUCGAUGUGGAGAUGUAAUAUCUUUACAUUAAUAUCGUUUCUCACACAAAAAUGAUAAAAUACGUUAUGCUUAUCAUAUUUCUUUGUCAUUUGAUGCUUUGAUGAAAAUAUAUACAGAAGAAGAACCCAUUGAAAUUUGCUGCGUUUCGCUGCAUCGUCAAGGAUACAAAAUCUUUUUCCUCGUGAAAGGAAAUUGCGAUAUCAUGCCGGAUAGUUAUGCAUAGUGCGUUUCAUUGUACCCGCAUCGCUCGUGGCAAGCGGAUUCCUUCUACCGUACUGUUAUUGUGUAUCUGUAAAAAUUCAUCUCGAACAAGGUCAGGCAUCGACAGUGCUUCUUGAUUCAUGGCGGCCGAGUUUCCGACAGUGCGAGAUUAUCCGUUCCGACGGAGCAACGCGAGGAUCCUGGAAAACUUGUUUCGACAUGAACAACAAAUGUGAAUGAUGGAUUAGAAUACAGCCGCGGGGUUCUCUUGCACAGAUCUCCGAAAAAGCGAUGGUUGAAUCAGCUCUGCGUGAGCUGAGUCGCUCGUCCUUGGCGUAGUUUUUAAGCUAAUGCGAUGAUUGAUACGAUGAUUGAUGUAACGAUUAUUCAUAAUUAUGUGCUCGACAAAUAUACUUUUACAUAAUUUUUGUAAAAAACAAA